AUGAGUCCCCCUGGUUGUCUGGAGGUCCAUGGGGGUGGUUCAUCUGCCCUCCAUGCGGGCUUUCAGUGCCCUAGCCCUGGGUAAAUGAGCUCCAUGAGUCCCCCUGGUUCUCUGGAGGUCCAUGGGGGUGGUUCAUCCAACCUCCAUGCGGGGUUAUGGUGCUUCAUUCCUGGGUACUUGAGCUCCAUAAGUCCCCCUGGUUCUCUGGAGGUCCAUGGGGGUGGUUCAUCUGCCCUCCAUGCGGGCUUUCAGUGCCCUAGCCCUGGGUAAAUGAGCUCCAUGAGUCCCCCCUGGUUGUCUGGAGGUCCAAGGGGUCUGUCUCCCAACCUCCAUGCGGGGUUAUGGUGCUCCAUUCCUUGGCAAAGCCCCCCCAGAGCAGGGGGUCAUCAGAGGAGGUUGUGCCUGGUUUCGUUUAUUCUUCCAAGUGUGUGUGAUGACCCGAGCCCACCUUUGGCCCAAUAAAUGCGCGGGACCCCCCCUUAAAGCCCCCGUGAAUGUUGGUUCCCAUUUGGCAUCAAUGCAUUUGAAAGUGAUACCCGGAUGGCAAGUCCUGCAGCUCUGCGUCCCAAGCUGGUAUCGAACCAGGCUCUGCCGGGUGGGAGGCACCAGCCUUAACCAUUGUGCCACGGGGGAAGCCAGGGUCAGUGUGCCCAGAUGGCAGAGCAUUUAUAGUGCCGAAAACCCAAGUGGCAAGCCAUGUCCACAAAGGGACCCUUACCAGGGGCACGAGACUCUGGGCCGUGCGGGCUGGUGGGUGUAGUCCGCGUAGGGGUGCUUAAGUGUGGGGUACCCAGGUUCGGAGGGUCCUUAAGUCUUGGUCCCCCAAGUGGCAAGCCCCCAUGGACAUAAACACCCAGGUGGCAAGCCCCAUGGUGCCCUGUCCCUGGGUAAAGGAGCUCCAUGAGUCCCCCCCCUGGUUCUCUGGAGGUCCAAGGGGUCUGUCACCCAACCUCCAUGCGGGCUUUGGGUGCCCUAUCCCUGGG